UACAGAGGGUGCAAGCGUUAAUCGGAAUUACUGGGCGUAAAGCGUGCGUAGUCGGUUAUUUAAGUCGGGUGUGAAAGCCCCGGGCUCAACCUGGGAAUUGCAUUCGAUACUGGAUAGCUAGAGUUCGGCAGAGGGAAGCGGAAUUUCCGGUGUAGCGGUGAAAUGCGUAGAUAUCGGAAGGAACAUCAGUGGCGAAAGCGGCUUCCUGGACCAGAACUGACGAUCAGGCACGAAAGCGUGGGGAGCGAACGGG
rnacentral:rRNA from 1 species